rnacentral:rRNA from 1 species
UAAGGAAUAUUGGUCAAUGGGCGCAAGCCUGAACCAGCCAUGCCGCGUGAGUGAGGAAGGUUUUCGGACCGUAAAGCUCUGUCGAGCGGGAAGAAAUGCAUGGUGGCUAAUAUCCAUCAUGCUUGACGGUACCGCUAAAGGAAGCACCGGCUAACUCCGUGCCAGCAGCCGCGGUAAUACGGGGGGUGCAAGCGUUGUUCGGAAUCAUUGGGCGUAAAGAGCGUGUAGGCGGCUGGAUAAGUCAGAUGUGAAAGCCCUGGGCUUAACCCAGGAAGUGCAUUUGAAACUGGGAGGCUAGAGUACUGGAGAGGGUGGUAGAAUUCCACGUGUAGCGGUGAAAUGCGUAGAGAUGUGGAGGAAUACCAGUGGCGAAGGCGGCCACCUGGACAGUAACUGACGCUGAGGCGCGAAAGUGUGGGUAGCAAACAGG